rnacentral:tRNA from 1 species
UAUGUUUUUCUAGUAUAAAUAGUACAUUUGACUUCCAAUCAAAAAGAUUGAUCAUUAAUCAAGAAAAACA